AUUGAACGCUGGCGGCAGGCUUAACACAUGCAAGUCGAGCGGAGAUGAGGUGCUUGCACCUUAUCUUAGCGGCGGACGGGUGAGUAAUGCUUAGGAAUCUGCCUAUUAGUGGGGGACAACAUUCCGAAAGGAAUGCUAAUACCGUAUACGUCCUACGGGAGAAAGCAGGGGAUCUUCGGACCUUGCGCUAAUAGAUGAGCCUAAGUCGGAUUAGCUAGUUGGUGGGGUAAAGGCCUACCAAGGCGAGGAUCUGUAGCGGGCCUGCGAGGAUGGGCCGCCAAACUGGGACUGAGACGCGGCCCAGACUCCUACGGGAGGCAGCAGUGGGGAAUAUUGGACAAUGGGGGGAAACCUGAUCCAGCCAUGCCGCGUGUGUGAAGAAGGCCUUAUGGUUGUAAAGCACUUUAAGCGAGGAGGAGGCUACUGAGACUAAUACUCUUGGAUAGUGGACGUUACUCGCAGAAUAAGCACCGGCUAACUCUGUGCCAGCCGCCGCAGUAAUAC
rnacentral:rRNA from 1 species